rnacentral:rRNA from 1 species
GACGAACGCUGGCGGCGUGCUUAACACAUGCAAGUCGAGCGAUGAAACACCUUCGGGUGCGGAUUAGCGGCGAACGGGUGAGGAACACGUGAGGAAUCUGCCUUCCACUCUGGGAUAACUCCGGGAAACCGGGGCUAAUACCGGAUACUUUCAACUGGCGGCAUCGCCGGUUGAAGAAAGUUUUUCGGUGGAAGAUGACCUCGCGGCCUAUCAGCUUGUUGGUGAGGUAAAGGCUCACCAAGGCGACGACGGGUAGCCGGCCUGAGAGGGCGACCGGCCACACUGGGACUGAGACACGGCCCAGACUCCUACGGGAGGCAGCAGUGGGGAAUAUUGGGCAAUGGAGGAAACUCUGACCCAGCGACGCCGCGUGAGGGAUGAAGGCCUUCGGGUUGUAAACCUCUUUCAGCAGGGAAUAAGCGAAAGUGAAGGUACCUGCAGAAGAAGCACCGGCUAACUAUGUGCCAGCCGCCGCCGUAA